UACGUAGGGUGCGAGCGUUAAUCGGAAUUACUGGGCGUAAAGCGUGCGCAGGCGGUUUUGUAAGCCAGGUGUGAAAUCCCCGGGCUUAACCUGGGAAUGGCAUUUGGGACUGCAAGGCUCGAGUGCGGCAGAGGAGACUGGAAUUCCUGGUGUAGCAGUGAAAUGCGUAGAUAUGACAUAGAACACCAAUUGCGAAGGCAGCUUACUACACAAUGAUUGACACUGAGGCACGAAAGCAUGGGGAGCGAACAGG
rnacentral:rRNA from 1 species